rnacentral:misc_RNA from 1 species
CGCAAAGUCGUCAUUAAUACGUCGACAGCUCCAGAGUAUUGAUUGCUUUAUUAAAUAACUUUGAAACUUAGCUAAUGCCGUUGCUGCCCCCACACACACAAGAAAAGAAAAAAAGGAUGAGAAGGAAGAAGAAUGAAAAAUGAAAGAGGAAAGAAAACCCUAGCCAUUGCCACCAUGUAAACCCGCUUAGCAGGGGACUUGUUUGUUACAACCAUCCCCAUCACCUGGCUCAAUG